AGUCAGGGAAGUACAGGAAAUGCCCUCCCCUUCUGGACACUCACCAUCCCCCAGUGUGUUCCCAGGGUGAUGGACCAGGACAUGAAUCAGGUGACCUGGAUCAGAUGUAGUUGAGGGGAUGAUGACGGAGGGAAGAACAGGCAGACAGAAGGAUGGAUGGAGAGAAAGGCAGAGAGAAGACUUCAGGCCCCAGGAGGUCAGAGAACCAGCAGAG